rnacentral:rRNA from 1 species
CCUACGGGCGGCAGCAGUGAGGAAUAUUGGUCACUGGUCGGGAGCCUGAACCAGCCAAGUAGCGUGAAGGAUGACUGCCCUAUGGGUUGUAAACUUCUUUUAUAUGGGAAUAAAAUGUUCCACGUGUGGGAUUUUGUAUGUACCAUAUGAAUAAGGAUCGACUAACUCCGUGCCAGCAGCCGCGGUAAUACGGAGGAUCCGAGCGUUAUCCGGAUUUAUUGGGUUUAAAGGGCGCGUAGGUGGAUUGUUAAGUCAGUUGUGAAAGUUUGCGGCUCAACCGUAAAAUUGCAGUUGAAACUGGCAGACUUGAGUACAGUAGAGGUGGGCGGAAUUCGUGGUGUAGCGGUGAAAUGCUUAGAUAUCACGAAGAACUCCGAUUGCGAAGGCAGCUUACUGGACUGCAACUGACACUGAGGCUCGAAAGUGUGGGUAUCAAACAGGAUUAGAUACCCCAGUAGUC